rnacentral:Y_RNA from 1 species
GGCUGGUCCGAAGGUAGUGAGUUAUCUCACUUGAUUGUUCAUAGUCAGUUACAGAUUGAACUCCUUGUUCUACUACUUUCCCCCCUCCUCACUACUGCACUUGACUAGUCUAAA